ensembl:lncRNA
CGAGUCGUACCAUUCCGCCCCAUGAGGGGGGGUGUCUCAGCAAACACCGACCUGCGAAAAUGCCCUGCCACGUCGGAGACGUUCAAAAGAAAAAUUUAAUACACAUAAUCAGACAAUUUUACCAUCGCGGUGUCCUCCAAAUGUUGAUACUUCGCCAGGAUCGUCAUUCUGAAUUAUGACGUUUCUCCUCGCCCCUGCAGCUGCGGUUUUGAGGUACAGUUGAAAAUGGCUGUGAAGGAACAGUUGAGAUCUGUCGCGCUGUACAAGAAUUAAUAAUAAUGUCGCAUCCUCCAAAUUAACGAGGACUCGUCUCCGCCGCCCGGAGGACACGUCGGAAAGUGUGUGGGGACGGUACUUCUGCUCCCUGGCACCUUGGCAGUUCGGGGUUUGAACCAGCAACCUUCCGCUUCCUCACCCGCUAGACCACGGAAGCGGCCAGAUGUGUGCAGCGUGCAUCAGCACCACUGCUGCAUCAGCAUGUCCUGUGUUCCCACAGUACUACAAGUGUUCCAUCGAAAUAUUGUAAAUAUAUUCUACAGAUAUGAUUACCCUUUUAAAAAUGUCCCGAAAUUCACAACCAAGCAUAAACAAUACUUAUUAUUAUUAUUAUAAUAAUAAUAGAAAAUUUAUCUAACCUUUUAUAAUAAUUGUAUGUCAGCUAUGUUUUAUGUAGCAUCAUACUUGAUAUAUAUAUAUAAAUUAUUCUAGGUAACUGUACAUUAAGUAAUUAAAUUAAUAUAAAGACCCCAGGACAGACGCACCAUUAUUUUAGGUCAACUUUUAAAUGGUGCAGAUAACA